UACGUAGGGUGCGAGCGUUGUCCGGAAUUAUUGGGCGUAAAGAGCUUGUAGGUGGUUUGUCGCGUCUGCUGUGAAAAUCCGGGGCUCAACCCCGGACUUGCAGUGGGUACGGGCAGACUAGAGUGUGGUAGGGGAGACUGGAAUUCCUGGUGUAGCGGUGAAAUGCGCAGAUAUCAGGAGGAACACCGAUGGCGAAGGCAGGUCUCUGGGCCACUACUGACGCUGAGAAGCGAAAGCAUGGGGAGCGAACAGGAUUAGAUACCCG
rnacentral:rRNA from 1 species